UGUACUGAAUGUUGUAGUAUAAAUAGUUAACUUUGAAACUGCGAAUGGCUCAUUAUAUCAGUUAUAGUUUAUUUGAUGAAGAAUACUAAUUGGAUAACCGUAGUAAUUCUAGAGCUAAUACAUGUAUAAAGUCUUGUAGACUGCAUUUAUUAGAAUGAAAACCAUAGGUUUCGGCCUAUUCGUGAGUAAUAAUAACUAAUCAUAUCGUAUGCUUACGUAACGAUGUGUCUUUCAAGUUUCUGCCCUAUCAGCUUUCGAUGGUAGUGUAUUGGACUACCAUGGCAGUAACGGGUAACGAAGAAAAA
rnacentral:rRNA from 1 species